AGGAAUGUUAUCAUACUUUUGAAGUACACGUUCGAUUUCGUCCUGCUCAAUUUCAUCUUCGUCUUCAUCAUUAAAUUCAAGAUCUCUAAAUGUAAUCCUUAAUAGAUGAGUGCCGUCUACCUUUAUAAUUUUGGAAAAUGACAGAUGAAGAUCAUUACAUAAACGUCGUAGAAAGCGCUGAUCAACAGAAGAAAUGUUUGCACUAAAAUCAAUGAACGGCUCACGAGAAGACAAAAACUUUUUAAUCUGUAAGAAAUAAU